UACGUAGGGUGCGAGCGUUGUCCGGAAUUAUUGGGCGUAAAGAGCUUGUAGGCGGUUUGUCGCGUCUGCUGUGAAAAUCCGGGGCUCAACCCCGGACUUGCAGUGGGUACGGGCAGACUAGAGUGUGGUAGGGGAGACUGGAAUUCCUGGUAUAGCGGUGAAAUGCGCAGAUAUCAGGAGGAACACCGAUGGCGAAGGCAGGUCUCUGGGCCACUACUGACGCUGAGAAGCGAAAGCAUGGGGAGCGAACAGG
rnacentral:rRNA from 1 species